CGGAACGUAGCGCAGCCCGGGUAGCGCACUACCUUGGGGUGGUAGGGGUCGCGGGUUCAAAUCCCGCCGUUCCGACUA
rnacentral:tRNA from 1 species